rnacentral:rRNA from 1 species
GACGAACGCUGGCGGCGUGCUUAACACAUGCAAGUCGAACGGUAAGCCCCUGCUUUUGUGGGGUGCUCGAGUGGCGCACGGGUGUGUUACGCGAGAGUACCCUCCCCUUCACUUUGGUAUGACUUCAAGAAACGGUGGCUUAUACCAGAUUACUUCUCCUGCCGCGGGGUGGGGGUUGGAGAGUUUCACCGGUUGUGGAUGGGCUCACGGCCUAUCAGCUUGUUGGUGGGGUAGUGGCUUACCAAGGCGUUGACGGGUAGCCGGCCUGAGAGGGUGACCGGCGACACUGGGGCUGAGAGACGGGCCCGACUCCUACGGGGGGGAGCAGAGGGGAAUAUUGCGCAAUGGGCGGAGACCGGAUGCGGAGAAGCCGCGGGGGGGAGGACGGGCUUCGGGGUGUAAAACUCUUUUUGCAGGGAAGAAGCCAGAAGUGACGGUAACUGGAGAAGAAACGCCGGCUAACUACGUG